AUCCAGGCCGGUCUCGAACUCCUGCCGUCAGGUGAUCCACUGGCCUCGGCCUCCCAAAGUGCUGGCAUUACAGGCAUGAGCCCCGUACCCGGCCUCUAAUUUACCAAUAUUCCUUUGAGUAAUAUGCACAUAGGAGUGCCAGGAACCUGCUAGACAUCGCCUGUGCUUUGCCCUGUAUUUGGAAGCCCAUUGGGAAAUUUGAAAAGGUCUGAGAAGAAUCAUCCCGUCUGUUAAGUGAUAAUUUGAGAAGAAAGAAACAUCGUCCUUGAAGUGCAGAGAGUUGCUUCUCUCUUGACACCUUAGAGGCAAGUCCAGGGAGCAGAAUUAAGUGACAGUAAAAGGAAAAGAUCACAUGUAUCACAGGAAUGAGAAAUCCUUAUGGCUAAGUCAGCUUUCCACAGUUAGGCUACACUUUGAUGUUGGCAAAAGUUUCCCUAGUGGGAGAGACAUAGGGAAAAGGGCAGAGGAAUAAAGAGACAGCUUCACUUACCCAGUCUAAGUAAAGAGGUGAACAGUUCAUCCAUCUAAUAUUUAAUAUGGGCUUCUCUUGUGAAGAGCUGGAAAUGCAUUUAUUAAAGUCUGCAUAAGCAGUUGAGUUAUAACCUCCAAAAUAAACUGGAAGAAAUAAAGGAAAAGAAACUGACUUACUGAAAAGUUUAUAAGCCCUCACAGAGAGCCAAGCUGCAAACAAGAAUCCAUGCAGAGCUGAAGGGAUGUCUCCGGGGGAUUAGUUGCAGAAUUGUUUUCUCUAGUGGAUGCUGUAGUGUAUGGACCGAUUCCUCCAUUGAUGGCCAAACUACUCAUUCCCCCACCUGCUGAGAAUCAGAGUGUGGACGGCUGAUGACUCAUGACUGAGUUCCUUACCAGGAAUUAACCUUGACUGGGCCCAAGUGUAUGCUCCCUGUCUGGGUUCAAAUUAAAAUCCAAAACGUAGUCUAUGUGGGAGUACAGAUACCCAGUCAUCAUGUCUCAGUUUGGGGCAGCUCUGAUGGGUCCUCCCAGUUCUAGAACCAGCUGUAGUCUUUAUUGUAAUGGCAUCAUAGUUCAGCUUGCCCUUGCCUAAUUCUGCUGCCUUCCUUUCUUCACUGGUGUUCUUUCCCAAACAACUCGGGAAUAAAUUCCCUGCAUGCAAAUCUUUGCCUCCAAGUCGGUUUUCUCUGAAACUAG
rnacentral:lncRNA from 10 species